rnacentral:rRNA from 1 species
UACGGAGGGUGCGAGCGUUGUCCGGAAUCACUGGGCGUAAAGGGCGCGUAGGCGGCGCGGAAAGUCGUCGGUGAAAGCUCGGGGCUCAACCCUGAGUCUGCCGGUGAUACUCCCGCGCUCGAGCUCACUAGAGGCAGAUGGAAUUCCGGGUGUAGCGGUGGAAUGCGUAGAGAUCCGGAAGAACACCGGUGGCGAAGGCGGUCUGCUGGACCGACACUGACGCUGAGGCGCGAAAGCGUGGGGAGCAAACAGG